GAGCUUUUGUAGACAUGAAAGUCCAAUUAGACUCAGCUUGACAGUUCUGAUCAUACUUUAAUAUGGCAUGCUCUGCGACGUCCUUAACAGCGGGGUACCGCCGUCGAGCUUCAGCAGACAAGGCGUGAAGAUCCGACUCCAAAACCGCCAUGAAAGCCGUGGCUGAAGCUUCCGUGGCUUGAGUUCAAAUAUUGAACGAUCAAUUUCUAGGGUUCAGGUGAAGAUAAAAUUCCAAUAGAAAAUAUCGACGACAAUACUCUAGAUAGAGCGAGGAUAUUGAGAUCGAUCAGCCUGACUGAUGGAAAAUGAACAAGCUAGCAGUGGAUCUUGGAUUUUUUUUUUUUUUUUUUCCCUGCCCUGCGCCUCUCUAGGCAUGAGCG
rnacentral:misc_RNA from 1 species